GGCCUUAGAGCAGCAGCCAUCAGGAGAGAGCCCUGUCCGCAGCUCUACAGGGCCCAGCAUGUUGGAGCGAGGAGCUAAUUCUUGGUUUUAUUCCUGUGAAACCAGGACACAGAGGGAGAAGGAGAAGAGGAGUCAGCGGCUCGCAGAGAUACUGAGGAGGUACAAAGAACAGCUGCCGAAGGACUUCCACCUGGCCCGGGUGCUUCCCUACUUGGUGUACGACGGUGUGUUCUCCCUCAAAGAGUACAGAGAGAUCCUCUCGCAGGCCCGCUACCCGGAGAGAGUGGAGUGCUUUCUCCUGAAGCUCUUCUCCAAAGGUCCGAGUGCUUUCUGUGCCUUCUGCGCUCAUCUGGAGGAACUCAGCCCUUACCUGCUCACCUCCCUUUUCCUUUAUUACCAAGAACAAACCCAACGGGUCCUACAAGAUGUGCUUGUGGCAGAAAAGACAUCGAGGAGCAGGAACGGAGCUCAGUGGGACUCCAGCACUGUCUCUGACCCAGAGGACCAAGAACAAAGGGCUCGAUUGUUUAACAAGGAAGAAGUGAAUCAGGGAUUGUGCCUCAGAACUGCCAACAAAGAUCAAGAUAACGAGCGGCUUGUGCUGACCCAGGUCGUUGCCAGCUGCCUCUGGGAGACAUCAGGAGCAUCAACAGCUCUCCCAACUGCUUGCCUCUGUCUGCAGCUGGCUCAGCUGUGCGCUCACACCAACAGUCCAUCCAAAACUCCCUGCACGUGAGCUGCCUGUGCCCCACAGAGCAUCGCUGCCUGCCUAGCUCUGCAGGCUGAACUCUUGUCCAUCCAGAAACUAGCAAAUACUUCCCACAUGUCAGCAAAGAAUGUGAUAUGUCUAUACCUACUUGCUACCAACCAUAAAGGACCGCUAUACUUGGAAAACUCUUGAAAAUAGUAACUGAGUUAUGAAAAGUUGAGACAAGCUAAAUUCCAAGCACUGGACUUCCAAUAGGACCAAACCAAUG
rnacentral:lncRNA from 1 species